rnacentral:rRNA from 1 species
GAUGAACGCUGGCGGUAUGCCUAACACAUGCAAGUCGAACGAAGUCUUCGGACUUAGUGGCGGACGGGUGAGUAACGCGUGAGAAUCUGCCUUCAGGAUGGGGACAACAGUUGGAAACGACUGCUAAUACCCAAUGUGCCUACGGGUGAAACCUUUUUUGGCCUGAAGAUGAGCUCGCGUCUGAUUAGCUAGUUGGUGGUGUAAUGGACUCACCAAGGCAACGAUCAGUAGCUGGUCUGAGAGGAUGAGCAGCCACACUGGGACUGAGACACGGCCCAG